CUGACACAGAGGAAGGCUUCUUUAAAGACAACGCCCUUCUUCAUUCCACACAGAGAGAUGAGAGGAGCAGCUAUGAGUUUAACUGCACCAGCGAGUGGAUUUGUCGUCUUGCUUCUCUCUGUGUCAGUGGUACAGAGUCAGUAUGACUGGGGAGUGACGUACACUUAUACUGAGAUCUGUGCCUUCAAAGGAUCAACUGUGUACAUAUACUGCACCAUUAAAUACCUGUCCACAAUAAAUGGCCACGAUACUACAGUUGAGAAAACAUUCUGGUUUAAAGGUGAUGAAAUUGUGGAUCUGAAAACAAAGUCAGAGUAUUCAGGUCGUGUCGAGUAUACCUGUAAUGAAAACUUCUGCACUCUGAGAAUCACAGACCUGAGAGAGAGCGACUCAGCUGAGUACAAGUUCAUGUUCAUA